rnacentral:rRNA from 1 species
GAUGAACGCUGGCGGCGUGCUUAAUACAUGCAAGUCGAACGGAAAGGCCCGGCGCUUGCUUGGUUCUUGUUUGGGGAAGACGUGAGUAUAACGCGAGUAUCCCGUCCUUGUCUGUGUGGUAUCAUCUGGGAAAUCGGGCGCUAAUCGCGUAUGAUAUUCUGCUCCGUAUGGUUGGAUGGUAAAUUUCGGCGGUGGGGGCUGGACUCGAGGCUUAUCAGCUGGUUGGGGGGGUAGGUACUUACCAAGGCUUUGACGGGUAGGCGGCCUGAGAGGGUUAACGGCCACAAUGGGACUGAGAUACGGCCCAGACUGCUACGGGAGGCAGCAGUGGGGAAUAUUGCACAAUGGGGGGAAGUGUGAUGUGGCAACGCCGGGUGCGGGAUGACGGCUUUCGAGUUGUAAACCGCUUUCGCAGUUGACGAAGCGUGCGUGACGGUAAUGGGUAAAGAAGCAACGGCUAACUACGUG